rnacentral:rRNA from 1 species
GACGAACGCUGGCGGCGUGCCUAAUACAUGCAAGUAGAACGCACAGUUUAUACCGUAGCUUGCUACACCAUAGACUGUGAGUUGCGAACGGGUGAGUAACGCGUAGGUAACCUGCCUGGUAGCGGGGGAUAACUAUUGGAAACGAUAGCUAAUACCGCAUAAUAUUAAUUAUUGCAUGAUAAUUAAUUGAAAGGUGCAAUUGCACCACUACCAGAUGGACCUGCGUUGUAUUAGCUAGUAGGUGAGGUAACGGCUCACCUAGGCGACGAUACAUAGCCGCACUGAGAGGGUGAUCGGCCAAACUGGGACUGAGACACGGCCCAGACUCCUACGGGAGGCAGCAGUAGGGAAUCUUCGGCAAUGGACGAAAGUCUGACCGAGCAACGCCGCGUGAGUGAAGAAGGUUUUCGGAUCGUAAAGCUCUGUUGUAAGAGAAGAACGGGUGUGAGAGUGGAAAGUUCACACUGUGACGGUAUCUUACCAGAAAGGGACGGCUAACUACGUG